rnacentral:lncRNA from 1 species
GAUCGCUGGGUUUCCAUGGCGGUCGGUCUGGCCUUGAGGAUCGGGACUUGCCGGGAGGUUGGCUUGGUUGGAGAAAGGUGUUCAUUUAGGGCAAGUGACUCGUAUCCAGGCGUCUCGCCAUUCGUCAUUGCCCUCGGUACCACCACGCCAUUCGUCACCACGGUACUAGAGCCCUGGGAGGGCCGUGUCCACCCGCGAUCACGUGCGUUGCGGCGGCCGCGAGCCGUGGUCUAGCUGCGCGUGAACUUGACACACACAGAGCGGGCGGGAGCUGUCAGGUGCCCUGUCACAAGCGUUUGUUAUUUUCGUAUGGUUGUUAUGUCCCCCAUUGGACUUCUAGACCGGUGCCAGUAUCUGCUUUUCUCCAUGCAAAUUAAGCUACGUUAUGUGAAGUGAGAC